UACGAAGGGUGCAAGCGUUGUCCGGAAUUAUUGGGCGUAAAGAGCUCGUAGGCGGUUUGUCGCGUCUGCUGUGAAAACCCGAGGCUCAACCUCGGGCCGCAGUGGGUACGGGCAGACUAGAGUGCGGUAGGGGAGAUUGGAAUUCCUGGUGUAGCGGUGGAAUGCGCAGAUAUCAGGAGGAACACCAAUGGCGAAGGCAGGUCUCUGGGCCAUUACUGACACUGAGAAGCGAAAGCAUGGGGAGCGAACAGG
rnacentral:rRNA from 1 species